AGUGAACGCUGGCGGUAGGCCUAACACAUGCAAGUCGAACGGCAGCACAGUAAGAGCUUGCUCUUACGGGUGGCGAGUGGCGGACGGGUGAGGAAUACAUCGGAAUCUACUUUUUCGUGGGGGAUAACGUAGGGAAACUUACGCUAAUACCGCAUACGACCUACGGGUGAAAGCAGGGGAUCUUCGGACCUUGCGCGAUUGAAUGAGCCGAUGUCGGAUUAGCUAGUUGGCGGGGUAAAGGCCCACCAAGGCGACGACCCGUAGCUGGUCUGAGAGGAUGGAUCCGCAAAAGGGAACCGAAGCAAGGGCCAAGCCCCCACGGGAGGGAGGCGGGGGGGAAUGUUGGAAAAGGGGGGCAAGCCUUACCCAGCCAUGCCGCGGGGGUGAAGAAGGCCUUAGGUUUGUAAAGCCUUUUUGUGGGGAAAGAAAAGCAGCAGCUUAAUACCCGGCUGUUCUGACGGUACCCAAAGAAAAAGCACCGGCUAACUUCGUG
rnacentral:rRNA from 1 species